rnacentral:rRNA from 1 species
AAAUGAAUAAGCGCAUACGGUGGAUGCCUUGGCAGUUAGAGGCGAUGAAGGACGUAGGACCCCUGGGUGAUGCUUCGGGGAGGUGGCAAGAAACCCUUUUGACCCGGGAGAUUUCCUUUUUGGGGAAAACCCCAUCUACGAUAAGGGUGAUAUUAGUGCUGAAUACAUAGGCGCAUAAAGCAAACCCCGGGAGAACUGAAACAUCUAAGUACCCGGGGGAAAAAAAGAAAUAAACCCGGGAGUUUCCCCUUUUUAGUAGCGGCGAGGAAAUGGGAUCAGCCUAAAAGUAAUAGCUUAAAAGUUAGAAGAACAGUCGGGAAAGUCUGGCAAUAAGGGUGGGGGGCCCCGACUCGAAAACUUUUUUUUGGUAUGCUUGGGGACAAGAGGUCGGGACACGUGUUAUCUUGACUGAAUAUGGGGACCAUCCUCCAAGGGCUAAAAAAUACUAACGACCGAUAGUGAACCAGUACCGUGGGGGAAAGGCGAAAAGAACCCCGGAGAGGGGAGGAAAAAAACCCUGAAACCGUAUGCGUAAAAAGGGGAGGAGGGGGACUUGUUCCGUGACUGCGCCUUUUUGUAUAAUGGGCCCCACGACUUAUUUUCAGUGGCGGUUAACCGUUUAGGUAGCCUUUGGGGGAAACCGGUCCAAUUUGGGGGCCUACCCGGGGAAAAGACCCGAAACCGGGCGAUCUAAACCAUGGAAGGUUGAAGGUUGAGUAACAUCAACUGGAGGACCGAACCCCCCAAGUUGGAAAAAAAUUUGGGGGUGAGCUGUGGGUCGGGGGAAAGGCUAAUCAAGCCCGGAGAUAAACUUGGUUCUCCUCGAAAGCUAUUUAAGGGAGUGCCUCAUGUAUCACCACUGGGGGUAGAGCACUGUUUCGGCUAGGGGGUCAUACCGACUUACCAACCCGAUGCAAAACCCCAAUACCAGUGAGUGCAAUCAUGGGAGACACACGGCGGGUGCUAACGUUCGUCGGGGGAGGGAAACAACCCAGACCGCCAGCUAAGGUCCCUAAUAUCAGUUAAGGGGAAACGAUGGGGGAAGGGGUCAGACAGCCAGGAAGUUGGCUUGAAACAGCCAUCUUUUUAAAAAGGCCCUAAUAGCUCACUAGUCGAGUCGGCCUGCGCGGAAGAUUUAACGGGGGUAAACUGAUAACCGAAGCUGGGACCAUUUUUUAUAUGCGUGGUAGAGGAGCGCCUUGGGAGGCUGUUGAAGGUGUACUGGGGAAGAUGCUGGAGGUAUCAGAAGGGGCGAAUGCUGACGUGAGUAACGAUAAAGCGGGUGAAAAAACCCCCCGCCGGAAGAUCAAGGUUUCCGUCCAACGCUAAUCGGGAAAGGGUUAGUCGGUACCUAAGGCGAGGCCGAAAAGGGGUAGUCGAGGAAAACAGGCUAAUAUUCCUGUACCGCUUUUAUACUGCGAUGGGGGGGCGGAAAGGGAGGUGAUCAGGCGUUGGUUGUCCCUGUUCAAGCUUGUAGGGAGAUUUCAGGGAAAUCCGGGAAAACGGGGUAUCCUGAGAAGUGAUGUCGAGCUCAAUUUUGCGGGGCCCAAGUCAUUGAUGCCAUGCUUCCAAGAAAAAACCCCUAAGUCAGGUGUAUAGCGACCGUCCCCUAAACCGACAAGGGAUCAGGUAGAGAAUACAAGGGGCUUGGGGAGAACUAUGGUGAAGGAACUAGGGGAAAAUGGUGCCGUAAUCCCCCGGGGGAAGGCACGCCAGUUUUUGGGGAUAGAAUUUACUUCUUGAGUUUAGAUUGGUCGCAGAGACCCAGGCCCCCGCGACUGUUUAUCUAAAACACAGCACUCUGCAAAAUCGUAAGAGGACGUAUAGGGGUGACGCCCGCCCCGGGGCCGGAAGGUUAAUUGAUGGGGGUUUGCUUCGGCGAAGCUCUUUUUCGAAGCCCUGGUAAACGGCGGCCGUAACUUUUAACGGGCCUGGGAGCGAAAUUCCUUUUUCGGGUGGGUUUCCCACCUGCACGAAUGGCGUAACGAUGGGGGCACUGUCUCCACCAUAGACUCAGUGAAAUCGAAAUCGCGGUGAAGAUGCCGCGUUCCCGCGGCUAGACGGAAAGACCCCGUGAACCUUUUUAUAGCUUGGCACUGAACUUUGAAUCUAUCUGUGUAGGAUAGGUGGGGUUUUAAGCAUAAACGCUAGAUUGUGUGGAGCCAUCCUUUAAAUACCACCCUGGAUGUUUGAGGUUCUAACUCUGGCCCAUUAUCUGGGUUGAGGACAGUGUCUGGUGGGUAGUUUGAUGGGGGGUCUCCCCCCCCCCAAAGAGUAACGGAGGAGCGCGAAGGUACACCCAGCAUGGUCGGAAAUCAUGCUAUUUAGCGCAAAGGUAAAAGGGGCUUUUUACUUGGGGACUGACAAGUCGAGCAGGUACGAAAAAUAGGUCUUAGUGAUCCGGUGGUUCUGUAUGGAAGGGCCAUCGCUCAACGGAUAAAAGGUACUCCGGGGAUAACAGGCUGAUACCGGGCCCCAAAAGUUCAUAUCGACGGCGGUGUUUGGCACCCCGAUGUCGGCUCAUCACAUCCUGGGGCUGGAGCUGGGCCCCAAAGGGGAUGGCUGUUCGCCAUUUAAAGUGGUACGCGAGCUGGGUUCAGAACGUCGUGAGACAGUUCGGUCCCUAUCUGCCGUGGGUGUUGGAAAAUUGAGGAGAGCUGCCCCUAGUACGAGAGGACCGGGGUGGACGAACCUCUGGUGUUUGGGUUGUCAUGCCAAUGGCAUUGCCCAGUAGCUAUGUUCGGAAAGGAUAACCGCUGAAAGCAUCUAAGCGGGAAGCCCCCUCCAAAAUUAGUUUUCCCUGGGAGUUUAACUCCCCUGAAGGGCUGUUCAAGACUAGGACGUUGAUAGGUUGGAUGUGGAAGCGUUGUGAGGCGUUAAGCUAACCAAUACUAAUUGCCCGUGAGACUUGACCA